GCCUGCCUGGCUCAGUCGGUAGAGCAUGGGACUCUUGAUCUCAGGGUCAUGAAUUCAAGUGCCAUGUUGGGUG
rnacentral:tRNA from 1 species